rnacentral:rRNA from 1 species
GGCUCAGAUUGAACGCUGGCGGUAUGCUUAACACAUGCAAGUCGAACGGUAACAGGUCGCUGUGAUCUCUUCGGAGUGAACUUGACGCUGACGAGUGGCGGACGGGUGAGUAAUACUUAGGAAUCUACCCAGUAGUGGGGGACAACACGACGAAAGUCGUGCUAAUACCGCAUACGCCCUUCGGGGGAAAGUGGAGGAUCUUCGGACUUCACGCUAUUGGAUGAGCCUAAGCCGGAUUAGCUUGUUGGUAGGGUAACGGCCUACCAAGGCAACGAUCCGUAGCUGGUCUGAGAGGACGAUCAGCCACACUGGGACUGAGACACGGCCCAGACUCCUACGGGAGGCAGCAGUGGGGAAUAUUGGACAAUGGGCGCAAGCCUGAUCCAGCAAUACCGCGUGUGUGAAGAAGGCCUGCGGGUUGUAAAGCACUUUCAGUAGAGAAGAAAAGCUUAGGGUUAAUACCCCUGGGUCUUGACGUAACCUACAGAAGAAGCACCGGCUAACUCCGUGCCAGCAGCCGCGGUAAUACGGGGGGUGCAAGCGUUAAUCGGAAUUACUGGGCGUAAAGCGCGCGUAGGCGGUCUGGUCAGUCGGAUGUGAAAGCCCCGGGCUCAACCUGGGAAUUGCACUCGAUACUGCCCGGCUAGAAUAUGGAAGAGGGAAGUGGAAUUUCCGGUGUAGCGGUGAAAUGCGUAGAGAUCGGAAGGAACACCAGUGGCGAAGGCGGCUUCCUGGUCCAAUA